rnacentral:rRNA from 1 species
CAAUCAAACCGGGAGAUAGCUGGUUCUCCCCGAAAGCUAUUUAGGUAGCGCCUCGUGAAUUCAUCUCCGGGGGUAGAGCACUGUUUCGGCUAGGGGGCCAUCCCGGCUUACCAACCCGAUGCAAACUGCGAAUACCGGAGAAUGUUAUCACGGGAGACACACGGCGGGUGCUAACGUCCGUCGUGAAGAGGGAAACAACCCAGACCGCCAGCUAAGGUCCCAAAGUCAUGGUUAAGUGGGAAACGAUGUGGGAAGGCCCAGACAGCCAGGAUGUUGGCUUAGAAGCAGCCAUCAUUUAAAGAAAGCGUAAUAGCUCACUGGUCGAGUCGGCCUGCGCGGAAGAUGUAACGGGGCUAAACCAUGCACCGAAGCUGCGGCAGCGAACGUAUCACCCAAGACAACUUUACGGAGUUGACGAUUGACGGAGCGAAGCGACGUCAAAGCGUUCAUUAAAGUCGAGUUGGCUUAGGGAUACGUUCGUUGGGUAGGGGAGCGUUCUGUAAGCCUGUGAAGGUGUGUCGUGAGGCAUGCUGGAGGUAUCAGAAGUGCGAAUGCUGACAUAAGUAACGAUAAAGCGGGUGAAAAGCCCGCUCGCCGGAAGACCAAGGGUUCCUGUCCAACGUUAAUCGGGGCAGGGUGAGUCGACCCCUAAGGCGAGGCCGAAAGGCGUAGUCGAUGGGAAACGGGUUAAUAUUCCCGUACUUGGUGUUACUGCGAAGGGGGGACGGAGAAGGCUAUGUUGGCCGGGCGACGGUUGUCCCGGUUUAAGCGUGUAGGUGUGUGUUCCAGGUAAAUCCGGUUCACUUUAACACUGAGGCGUGACGACGAGGCACUACGGUGCUGAAGCAACAAAUGCCCUGCUUCCAGGAAAAGCCUCUAAGCAUCAGGUAACAUCAAAUCGUACCCCAAACCGACACAGGUGGUCAGGUAGAGAAUACCAAGGCGCUUGAGAGAACUCGGGUGAAGGAACUAGGCAAAAUGGUGCCGUAACUUCGGGAGAAGGCACGCUGACACGUAGGUGAAGUGAUUUACUCAUGGAGCUGAAGUCAGUCGAAGAUACCAGCUGGCUGCAACUGUUUAUUAAAAACACAGCACUGUGCAAACACGAAAGUGGACGUAUACGGUGUGACGCCUGCCCGGUGCCGGAAGGUUAAUUGAUGGGGUCAGCGCAAGCGAAGCUCCUGAUCGAAGCCCCGGUAAACGGCGGCCGUAACUAUAACGGUCCUAAGGUAGCGAAAUUCCUUGUCGGGUAAGUUCCGACCUGCACGAAUGGCGUAAUGAUGGCCAGGCUGUCUCCACCCGAGACUCAGUGAAAUUGAACUCGCUGUGAAGAUGCAGUGUACCCGCGGCAAGACGGAAAGACCCCGUGAACCUUUACUAUAGCUUGACACUGAACAUUGAGCCUUGAUGUGUAGGAUAGGUGGGAGGCUUUGAAGUGUGGACGCCAGUCUGCAUGGAGCCGACCUUGAAAUACCACCCUUUAAUGUUUGAUGUUCUAACGUGGACCCGUAAUCCGGGUUGCGGACAGUGUCUGGUGGGUAGUUUGACUGGGGCGGUCUCCUCCUAAAGAGUAACGGAGGAGCACGAAGGUUGGCUAAUCCUGGUCGGACAUCAGGAGGUUAGUGCAAUGGCAUAAGCCAGCUUGACUGCGAGCGUGACGGCGCGAGCAGGUGCGAAAGCAGGUCAUAGUGAUCCGGUGGUUCUGAAUGGAAGGGCCAUCGCUCAACGGAUAAAAGGUACUCCGGGGAUAACAGGCUGAUACCGCCCAAGAGUUCAUAUCGACGGCGGUGUUUGGCACCUCGAUGUCGGCUCAUCACAUCCUGGGGCUGAAGUAGGUCCCAAGGGUAUGGCUGUUCGCCAUUUAAAGUGGUACGCGAGCUGGGUUUAGAACGUCGUGAGACAGUUCGGUCCCUAUCUGCCGUGGGCGCUGGAGAACUGAGGGGGGCUGCUCCUAGUACGAGAGGACCGGAGUGGACGCAUCACUGGUGUUCGGGUUGUCAUGCCAAUGGCACUGCCCGGUAGCUAAAUGCGGAAGAGAUAAGUGCUGAAAGCAUCUAAGCACGAAACUUGCCCCGAGAUGAGUUCUCCCUGAGACUUAGAGUCUCCUGAAGGAACGUUGAAGACGACGACG